rnacentral:rRNA from 1 species
UGCCAGCCGCCGCGGUAAUACGUAGGGAGCAAGCGUUGUCCGGAAUUAUUGGGCGUAAAGGGUGCGUAGGCGGUUUAUCAAGUCAGAUGUGAAAUACCCAGGCUUAACUUGGGAAGUGCACUUGAAACAGCAAGACUUGAAUACGGUAGAGGAGAGAGGAAUUCCUGGUGUAGAGGUGAAAUUCGUAGAUAUCAGGAGGAACACCGAUGGCGAAGGCAUCUCUCUGGGUCGAUAUUGACGCUGAGGCGCGAAGGCGUGGGUAGCGAACGGGAUUAGAUA